rnacentral:rRNA from 1 species
GACGGAUGCUGGCGGCGUGGCUAAUACGUGCAAGUCGAGCGAGCGGAACUAACAGAUUUACUUCGGUAAUGACGUUAGGAAAGCGAGCGGCGGAUGGGUGAGUAACACGUGGGGAACCUGCCCCAUAGUCUGGGAUACCACUUGGAAACAGGUGCUAAUACCGGAUAAGAAAGCAGAUCGCAUGAUCAGCUUUUAAAAGGCGGCGUAAGCUGUCGCUAUGGGAUGGCCCCGCGGUGCAUUAGCUAGUUGGUAAGGUAAAGGCUUACCAAGGCGAUGAUGCAUAGCCGAGUUGAGAGACUGAUCGGCCACAUUGGGACUGAGACACGGCCCAAACUCCUACGGGAGGCAGCAGUAGGGAAUCUUCCACAAUGGACGCAAGUCUGAUGGAGCAACGCCGCGUGAGUGAAGAAGGUUUUCGGAUCGUAAAGCUCUGUUGUUGGUGAAGAAGGAUAGAGGUAGUAACUGGCCUUUAUUUGACGGUAAUCAACCAGAAAGUCACGGCUAACUACGUGCCAGCAGCCGCGGUAAUACGUAGGUGGCAAGCGUUGUCCGGAUUUAUUGGGCGUAAAGCGAGCGCAGGCGGAAGAAUAAGUCUGAUGUGAAAGCCCUCGGCUUAACCGAGGAACUGCAUCGGAAACUGUUUUUCUUGAGUGCAGAAGAGGAGAGUGGAACUCCAUGUGUAGCGGUGGAAUGCGUAGAUAUAUGGAAGAACACCAGUGGCGAAGGCGGCUCUCUGGUCUGCAACUGACGCUGAGGCUCGAAAGCAUGGGUAGCGAACAGAAUUAGAUACCCUGGUAGUCCAUGCCGUAAACGAUGAGUGCUAAGUGUUGGGAGGUUUCCGCCUCUCAGUGCUGCAGCUAACGCAUUAAGCACUCCGCCUGGGGAGUACGACCGCAAGGUUGAAACUCAAAGGAAUUGACGGGGGCCCGCACAAGCGGUGGAGCAUGUGGUUUAAUUCGAAGCAACGCGAAGAACCUUACCAGGUCUUGACAUCUAGUGCCAUUUGUAGAGAUACAAAGUUCCCUUCGGGGACGCUAAGACAGGUGGUGCAUGGCUGUCGUCAGCCCGUGUCGUGAGAUGUUGGGUUAAGUCCCGCAACGAGCGCUACCCUUGUUAUUAGUUGCCAGCAUUAAGUUGGGCACUCUAAUGAGACUGCCGGUGACAAACCGGAGGAAGGUGGGAUGACGUCAAGUCAUCAUGCCCCUUAUGACCUGGGCUACACACGUGCUACAAUGGGCAGUACAACGAGAAGCGAGCCUGCGAAGGCAAGCGAAUCUCUGAAAGCUGUUUUCAGUUCGGACUGCAGUCUGCAACUCGACUGCACGAAGCUGGAAUCGCUAGUAAUCGCGGAUCAGCACGCCGCGGUGAAUACGUUCCCGGGCCU